GAUUAGAUACCCUGGUAGUCCUAGCCGUAAACGGUGAGCACUAGGUGUAGGAGGCAUCGACCCCUCCUGUGCCGCAGCUAACGCAUUAAGUGCUCCGCCUGGGGAGUACGACCGCAAGGUUGAAACUCAAAGGAAUUGACGGGGCCCCGCACAAGCGGUGGAGCAUGUGGUUUAAUUCGAUGCAACGCGAAGAACCUUACCCAGGUUUGACAUGCAUUGGACCGGUGUGGAAACACACCUUCCCUUCGGGGCCGAUGCACAGGUGCUGCAUGGCUGUCGUCAGCUCGUGUCGUGAGAUGUUGGGUUAAGUCCCGCAACGAGCGCAACCCUUGUCCUUAGUUGCCAGCAAGUCACGUUGGGCACUCUAAGGAGACUGCCGCCGACAAGGCGGAGGAAGGUGGGGAUGACGUCAAGUCCUCAUGGUCCUUACACCUGGGGCUACACACGUGCUACAAUGGUCGGUACAAAGGGUCGCAAUACCGCGAGGUGGAGCCAAUCCCACAAAGCCGGCCUCAGUUCGGAUUGCAGUCUGCAACUCGACUGCAUGAAGGCGGAAUCGCUAGUAAUCGCUGAUCAGCAGGCAGCGGUGAAUAUGUUCCCGGGGCUUGUACACACCGCCCGUCAAGCCACGAAAGUUGGCAGUGCCCGACGUCGCUAUCCUAACCGCAAGGAGGGAAGUGCCUAAGGUAAGGCCACUGAUUGGGGCUAAGUCGUAACAAGGUAACCAAGGGCGAA
rnacentral:rRNA from 1 species